rnacentral:rRNA from 1 species
AUGGGCCAAUGCUGCGCCAAGGGUGCCGGGCGCGCCGGCGACGCCAACUCGGACCCGCUGCCGCCCCCGCCUGCAGCCCCAAAGGUGGAGCCUGUCGCAUCGUCGUCGACCGCCAGCAACGGCGUCGCAGCGCCGCCGGCCGCCAAUGCCAAGCCGGGCAAGCCGCCGCCGCCCGUGGGCGACGUGCUCGGCCGCGCCAUGGAGGACGUGCGCACCACCUACUCCAUCGGCAAGGAGCUCGGGCGCGGCCAGUUCGGCGUGACCCACCUCUGCACGCAUCGCUCCACCAGCGAGAAGCUGGCGUGCAAGACCAUCGCCAAGCGCAAGCUGGCCAACAAGGAGGACGUGGAGGACGUCCGGCGCGAGGUACAGAUCAUGUACCACCUCUCCGGCCAGCCCAACAUCGUCGACCUCCGGGGCGCCUACGAGGACAAGCACAACGUGCACCUCGUCAUGGAGCUCUGCGCCGGCGGCGAGCUCUUCGACCGGAUCAUCGCCAAGGGCCACUACACGGAGCGGGCGGCGGCCGCCCUGCUCCGGGCCAUCGUCGGCAUCGUCCACACAUGCCACUGCAUGGGGGUGAUGCACCGGGACCUCAAGCCGGAGAACUUCCUCCUGCUCAGCAAAGGGGAGGACUCGCCGCUCAAGGCCACCGACUUCGGUCUCUCCGUCUUCUUCAAGGAAGGCGAGGUGUUCAGGGACAUCGUCGGCAGCGCCUACUACAUCGCGCCGGAGGUGCUCAAGCGGCGCUACGGCCCCGAGGCUGACAUCUGGAGCAUCGGCGUCAUGCUCUACAUCUUCCUCGCCGGCGUCCCGCCAUUCUGGGCGGAGAACGACAAUGCCAUCUUCACCGCCGUGCUACGCGGGCAGGUCGACUUCAACGGCGAUCCAUGGCCAAACAUCUCCUCUGGCGCCAAGGAUCUUGUCAAGAAGAUGCUCAACAUCAACCCCAAGGAGAGGCUCACGGCCUUCCAAGUCCUCAAUCACCCAUGGAUCAAAGAAGACGGAGACGCACCCGAUACGCCGCUCGACAAUGUCGUUCUCAACAGGCUCAAGCAAUUCAGGGCCAUGAACCAGUUCAAGAAAGCUGCGCUGAGGGUUAUAGCUGGGUGCUUAUCGGAAGAGGAGAUCAGGGGGCUCAAGGAGAUGUUCAAGAACAUCGACAAAGAUAACAGCGGCACAAUCACGCUCGAAGAGCUCAAGAAUGGGCUAGCAAAGCAGGGCACAAAGCUGUCAGACAAUGAAAUUCAGCAACUCAUGGAAGCAGCUGAUGCAGAUGGCAAUGGAUUGAUUGACUACGAGGAGUUUGUCACCGCGACAGUUCACAUGAACAAGAUGCAUAGAGAGGAGCACCUAUACAUAGCAUUCCAGUUCUUCGACAAGGAUAACAGUGGGUACAUAACAAGAGAUGAGCUCGAGCAAGCCUUGAAGGAGAAGGGAAUGUAUGAUGCCAAAGAGAUCAAGGAGAUCAUCUCAGAGGCUGACACUGACAAUGAUGGGAGGAUAGAUUAUUCAGAAUUCGUGGCGAUGAUGAAGAAAGGAGCAGGCAGCACCGAGCCAACGAACCCAAAGAAGAGGAGAGAUCUAGUUCUAGAGUGA